GAUGAACGCUAGCUACAGGCUUAACACAUGCAAGUCGAGGGGUAACGAGAGGAAAGCUUGCUUUCCUUGUCGACGACCGGCGCACGGGUGAGUAACGCGUAUCCAACCUGCCCCCAACUAGGGAAUAACCUUGCGAAAGUAAGACUAAUACCCUAUAAUUUCCUCAGAUGACAUCUGACGAGGAAUAAAGAUUUAUCGGUUGUGGAUGGGGAUGCGUCUGAUUAGCUUGUUGGCGGGGUAACGGCCCACCAAGGCAACGAUCAGUAGGGGUUCUGAUAGGAAGGUUCCCCACAUUGGAACUGAGACACGGGCCAAACUCCUACGGGAGGCAGCAGUGAGGAAUAUUGGUCAAUGGGCGGAAGCCUGAACCAGCCAAGUAGCGUGCAGGAUGACGGCCCUAUGGGUUGUAAACUGCUUUUAUACAGGAAUAAAGUUAGCCACGUGUGGUUAUUUGUAGGUACUGUAUGAAUAAGGACCGGCUAAUUCCGUGCCAGCAGCCGCCGUAA
rnacentral:rRNA from 1 species